UGUGGAGCUGGAUAACGAAUUUGAACUGCGCAGGCAAAGAAAAGGAAACAGAUCUCCAUUGGUGAGGGGGGAGUAUCCUGUUCACUGUCUGCGCCUGGCUGCAGGGCCUCUACUGUAUCUGGGGUGCUCUGCAGCUGAGGGGGAGAAGGAGCUGGAUUCUCAGGAGUCUUCUCCACGUCUCCUUCUGGGUCUGCUGCUCCUGGGCCUGCUGCUGUAACUCCCGAGUCGUCCUCAUCGGAGGAGUCCUCUGACGGGGCCAUGACAGUCAGUCAGGAAGAACACCAGGAUGCUGGAGACCUAGGGACCCUGCUCCCAAAAAAACAAAGGAUCUAUGCCCACAUGCAACCCUGGACAACUACACCCCUGCGCAUGAGUCAUCUCCU